rnacentral:rRNA from 1 species
AACGAACGCUGGCGGCAGGCUUAACACAUGCAAGUCGAGCGGGCCCUUCGGGGUCAGUGGCAGACGGGUGAGUAACGCGUGGGAACGUGCCCUUCAGUUCGGGAUAACCCAGGGAAACUUGGGCUAAUACCGGAUACGUGCGAGAGCAGAAAGAUUUAUCGCUGAAGGAUCGGCCCGCGUCUGAUUAGCGGGUUGGUGGGGUAAUGGCCCACCAAGGCGACGAUCAGUAGCUGGUCUGAGAGGAUGAUCAGCCACAUUGGGACUGAGACACGGCCCAAACUCCUACGGGAGGCAGCAGUGGGGAAUAUUGGACAAUGGGCGCAAGCCUGAUCCAGCCAUGCCGCGUGAGUGAUGACGGCCUUAGGGUUGUAAAGCUCUUUCGCACGCGACGAUAAUGACGGUAGCGUGACAAGAAGCCCCGGCUAACUUCGUGCCAGCCGCCGCCGUAA